rnacentral:rRNA from 1 species
AUUGAACGCUGGCGGUAUGCUUAACACAUGCAAGUCGAACGAGUGGCGGACGGGUGAGUAAUGCAUAGGAAUCUACCUUUUAGUCUAGUAUAACUACCCGAAAGGGUGGCUAAUACUGUAUGCUAAGAGAUGAGCCUAUGUGGGUUUAGGUAGUUGGUGGGGUAAAGGCUCACCAAGGCGACGACCUCUAGCUGGUUUGAGAGGAUGAACAGCCACACGGGGACUGGGACACGGCCCAAGCUCCUACGGGGAGCAGCAAUGGGGAAUAAUUGAAAAAGGGGGGAAAGCUGGUCCAACAAUACCGCGUGUGUGGAGAAAGGCCUAGGGUUGUAAAGGACUUUUGUUAGGGAGAUGUUACCUGAAGAAUAAGCACCGGCUAACUCCGUGCCAGCAGCCGCGGUAAUUC